rnacentral:rRNA from 1 species
AUUGAACGCUGGCGGCAUGCUUUACACAUGCAAGUCGAACGGCAGCGCGGGCUUCGGCCUGGCGGCGAGUGGCGAACGGGUGAGUAAUGCAUCGGAACGUGCCCAGUAGUGGGGGAUAGCCCGGCGAAAGCCGGAUUAAUACCGCAUACGACCUGAGGGUGAAAGCGGGGGACCGAAAGGCCUCGCGCUAUUGGAGCGGCCGAUGUCGGAUUAGCUAUUUGGUGGGGUAAAGGCUUACCAAGGCGACGAUCCGUAGCUGGUCUGAGAGGACGACCAGCCACACUGGGACUGAGACACGGCCCAGACUCCUACGGGAGGCAGCAGUGGGGAAUUUUGGACAAUGGGGGCAACCCUGAUCCAGCCAUGCCGCGUGCGGGAAGAAGGCCUUCGGGUUGUAAACCGCUUUUGUUCGGGAAGAAAUCCUCUGGGCUAAUACCCCGGGGGGAUGACGGUACCGGAAGAAUAAGCACCGGCUAACUACGUG